GUCAGCUGUUGCAGGAAACGCAUCCCCACAGAGAUGAGGAUUGGCCGGUAAUAGAUGGGCAUGGCCAGCUGGGACCACGUGACGCGGCUCUGCAGACUGAUGCUGCGCUGCAUUGAAGAACACAUGCAAGUACAUAUACGCUGCAGAUUACUUUAUUCAACAUGGAAUGAAAAGCUUAUCUUGCUUCUGGUCCCCUUGGACAUUGUUAUUCUACUUCUCACCUUGAUGGUGUCGAGCUCGCUCUGGAUGUCAUAGUCAGCGCCCCUCAGCCAGCGAAGAGUAGACUCGGCCUGCUCCUCUCUGCCCAGGGAGAGGAGCCUCCGGGGGGAGUAGGGCAUGAAGAAUAGCAGCACAACCAUCAGCAAUGCUGGCACGCCUCCUGCCACUGCAAGCCACCGCCACGGUUGCAACAGAGACAAAGAGAGGCUGAAAGAGUCACAGAAAGGCAUCGAAGUAAACGUCCUUGGAAUUGUUUUGGUCCAUUUAAGGAAUGGAUGCCGCUGUCACCCCCCCGGCGAGACCUGUGAGGAAACGGCCAAGGUGGAGCAUCCAUAAUUCCACAGCCCCUCCCAGCAGCAGGGAGCUGAAAGACACGUUAACAAUUCAAUCACA